GGCAGUUUGAUAUCAAGCACAGCCUUGUCAAAUGUGUUCCUCACAUGCUGACACACCACCAUCAAGUUCUGACAAGCAUCUUUCAAAACCUCUCUUGCAGGAUCACCUGUUGUCUGGACUCUAAUAUUAACUCGAUUGUCUGAAGGAUGAGGAAUGCUGUACCCACAAAAUGUCACUCUUGGAUCUUGAUUCAAAGUGUAUCUGAGAGCAUUUGCAAGUGUAUGAUCUUCAUCAGCCAUUGAAAAUGUUGAUUUGGUCUCAUCUGUGAAGGAUCCAUGUUCCAUUGCGAGAGAGAGAAGGAGGGCGAGAAGAGAUGGAGUUGCUGGGUCGGUGGCCGGCGGGCC
rnacentral:misc_RNA from 1 species